AGCUUUGCACAGUGGCAGUAUUGUAGCCAAUGAGGUUUAUCCGAAGCGUGAUUAUUGCUAAUUGAAAACUUCUCUAGCUUCAUUGUAAGAAUACAGUAUAUAAUACAAUAACAAACAUACAAAAUAUGUGUUAAUUGACUGUUUAU